GACGCCCUUCCGCCUCGAGGCAGCCUUUACAGGCCUGGCCAUGGCCCCAGGCUCUCCCAGUGGGGGCUGACUUUGAGGGGAGAACUCAGCUGCCCUUGUGUUAGCUGAGCUCUGCAACUCACAAGGUAAUCAAGUUACAAUGAUGUCAUUAGGAGGAACUUAAUCCAAUAUGGCUGAUGUCCUUACGAAAAAACGUGGACACAGAGACAGACACACACAGAGGGAGAAUCCCAUGUGAAGAUGAAGGCAGAGAGUGGGGCAAUGCUUCUGCAAGCCGAGGAAUGUCAAAGACGGCUGGCAAC